GAGAACCUGCAUUUCAAAUGGAGGAAAUGAGUGUGAUGUGCUUACAAUCACAAAUCCAGUCAGUGGGAAAGUCAUGUUAAGAGCAAGAACUCCCAAAUCCCUCCAGAUUUAACCACCAGGAAAUGGGUCACCUGUCAGUAGUACAAGAAGGACACUGUCUGAUGUGAUUUGCUACAAUUUGGCAAAAACAGAAGCUUAGCCACAAGGCCUUGG
rnacentral:lncRNA from 1 species